rnacentral:rRNA from 1 species
GACACAGGGAGGUAGUGACAAGAAAUAACAAUACAGGGCAAUUGUCUUGUAAUUGGAAUGAUGGUGACCUAAACCCUCACCAGAGUAACAAUUGGAGGGCAAGUCUGGUGCCAGCAGCCGCGGUAAUUCCAGCUCCAAUAGCGUAUAUUAAACUUGUUGCAGUUAAAAAGCUCGUAGUUGAAUUUUUGCGUGGUGGUAAUAUUGACUGAUGUCGAGAAUGCACUUCGCUUUUGGGAUUUAUCCCUUUUUACUUUGAGAAAAUUAGAGUGUUUCAAGCAGACUUUUGUCUUGAAUACUUCAGCAUGGAAUAAUAGAGUAGGACUUUGGUUCUAUUUUGUUGGUUUGUGAACCUUAGUAAUGGUUAAUAGGAACGGUUGGGGGCAUUCGUAUUUAACUGUCAGAGGUGAAAUUCUUAG